GUGAGGAAUUUUCCGCAAUGGGCGAAAGCCUGACGGAGCAAUGCCGCGUGAAGGAUGAAGGCCUAUGGGUUGUAAACUUCUUUUCUUAGAGAAGAAUAUUGACGGUAUCUGAGGAAUAAGCAUCGGCUAACUCUGUGCCAGCAGCCGCGGUAAGACAGAGGAUGCAAGCGUUAUCCGGAAUGAUUGGGCGUAAAGCGUCUGUAGGUGGCUUCAAAAGUCUCCUGUAAAAGAUCAGGGCGUAACCCUGGGACGGCAGGAGAAACUCUGAGGGUAGAGUUUGGUAGGAGCAGAGGGAAUUCCCAGUGGAGCGGUGAAAUGCGUAGAGAUCGGGAGGAACACCAAAGGCGAAAGCACUCUGCUGGGCCACAACUGACACUGAGAGACGAAAGCGAGGGGAGCAAAAGGGAUUAGAUACCCUGGUAGUCC
rnacentral:rRNA from 1 species